rnacentral:misc_RNA from 1 species
GAAAUGCGAUAAGUAAUGUGAAUUGCAGAAUUCAGUGAAUCAUCGAAUCUUUGAACGCACAUUGCGCCCGCCAGCAUUCUGGCGGGCAUGCCUGUUCGAGCGUCAUUUCAACCCUCAAGCCCUAUCGUGCUUGGUGUUGGGGCUCCUGCGCGCGCCGUAGGUCCCCGAAUCGCAGUGGCGGGCCCGAGGCGGUUCCGGGCGUAGUAGAUUACGCCGCCCUGGAGCCGCGGCGGGUGCCGGCCGUUAAAAAACGUUUUUAACCCAAAGGUUGACCUCGGAUCAGGUAGGAAUACCCGCUGAACUUAA